rnacentral:misc_RNA from 1 species
GAAAUGCGAUAAGUAAUGUGAAUUGCAGAAUUCAGUGAAUCAUCGAAUCUUUGAACGCACAUUGCGCCCCUUGGUAUUCCGGGGGGCAUGCCUGUUCGAGCGUCAUUACACCCCUCAAGGAUAGCUUGGUAUUGGGUCCUCGCCCCUCGGGCGUACCCGAAAAGCAGUGGCGGUCCGGAGCGACUUUAAGCGUAGUAAAUUUUCAUCCCGCUUUGAAAGAUCGCGUCGCGGCUUGCCAGAAACCGCAAAUGUUUUCAUAAUUGACCUCGGAUCAGGUAGGGAUACCCGCUGAACUUAA